GGGCGGGUAGAUCAGCCUGGAAUGAUCGCGGCGUUGGCAUCGCCGAGGUCGAGGGUUCAAAUCCCUCCCCGUCCACCA
rnacentral:tRNA from 2 species